AGGACACACAUUGUAGAUAGGCCUGUGUCAUGUUUCCUUACAGUCGUUUUUUUACAGAGAAAAGGGGCAUUGUUUUUUCACUUCUUUCUCAACAGUUCCUAUGAAUAAACGAAACAUUUCGGUGCUCCCUAAGAGCAAGAGCCCUCACUUCUUCUUGCAGUGCCGGCACCAUGUGUUGGUGAAGCUGGUGCUCUGGGGGCCGCUCACUCAAAUGACACCUGGAGGCCGUUUCCUCCCUGAUCACCCCCUUCCCCAGCCUGACUUUUUGGCCUCCUGCCCAACCAGACACCUCAAACUCUGUCAGCACCCUGGCAUUCUGGCAGAGAAUCCUCACCAGUUCUCACCAACCUUCUCCCCAGGCAAGAGAAGCUGCCAGCUUGGCACUCUGCCAGGACGGGUUUCCCUGGAGGAAGCUGCUCACACUGAGAUGAGCCUCUCAGGGCAGGACCUCUUCCCAAGCCCCGCACACCCACCCCUGCAGCCCUUUUGGCUCCCCUUUUUCCCCGUGCCUCAGCACUCCUUGCCUGGCUGCAGAUAACGAACUGGGGUUCCCUAAAGGGCAGAUCUGCCCUCUCCGUGUCUUCGUCCUGGCAAAAAGAGUCCUCUUAAAAUUAUGCACUAAUUCUGUACGGGAGCAUGCAAAAGACAUUACUUAGAGAUUGAAAUUUCAAACUAUCUGUAGUUUUUCAAUGGAAAUGUAUCAGAUAACGAAAAACCAUCAAGCUCAUUAUUAUUUUUUGAUCUUCAGUUGUAUUUUUGUGAAUAUUUUAAUACAUCUUUUUCAAUUUCUGGA